ACUACUUUGUAAAUCAUUCACCGACUACUUAUGGAUAGAACUGAUAACUAUGCAUUUUACUCGUUUUGAGCAUCCAUUUGUCAUCACUUUAACAUCAUAUCACCACUGUUUUAUACCAUUUCUCAUCAUUUGUCAUCGCUUUGCAUGUUUAGAUUAGUUUUGCAUGCAUAUUGCA
rnacentral:sRNA from 1 species